UACGUAGGGGGCUAGCGUUGUCCGGAAUCAUUGGGCGUAAAGCGCGCGUAGGCGGCCCGGUAAGUCCGCUGUGAAAGUCAAAGGCUCAACCUUUGAAAGCCGGUGGAUACUGCCGGGCUAGAGUCCGGAAGAGGCGAGUGGAAUUCCUGGUGUAGCGGUGGAAUGCGCAGAUAUCAGGAGGAACACCGAUAGCGAAGGCAGCUCGCUGGGACGG
rnacentral:rRNA from 1 species